rnacentral:rRNA from 1 species
UGACCUCGGAUCAGGUAGGGAUACCCGCUGAACUUAAGCAUAUCAAUAAGUCGGAGGA